UCACCGGAGCUUGCUCCACCGAAAGAAAAAGAGUGGCGAACGGGUGAGUAACACGUGGGUAACCUGCCCAUCAGAAGGGGAUAACACUUGGAAACAGGUGCUAAUACCGUAUAACACUAUUUUCCGCAUGGAAGAAAGUUGAAAGGCGCUUUUGCGUCACUGAUGGAUGGACCCGCGGUGCAUUAGCUAGUUGGUGAGGUAACGGCUCACCAAGGCAACGAUGCAUAGCCGACCUGAGAGGGUGAUCGGCCACACUGGGACUGAGACACGGCCCAGACUCCUACGGGAGGCAGCAGUAGGGAAUCUUCGGCAAUGGACGAAAGUCUGACCGAGCAACGCCGCGUGAGUGAAGAAGGUUUUCGGAUCGUAAAACUCUGUUGUUAGAGAAGAACAAGGAUGAGAGUAAAAUGUUCAUCCCUUGACGGUAUCUAACCAGAAAGCCACGGCUAACUACGUGCCAGCAGCCGCGGUAAUACGUAGGUGGCAAGCGUUGUCCGGAUUUAUUGGGCGUAAAGCGAGCGCAGGCGGUUCCUUAAGUCUGAUGUGGAAGCCCCCGGCUCAACCGGGGAGGGUCAUUGGAAACUGGGAGACUUGAGUGCAGAAGAGGAGAGUGGAAUUCCAUGUGUAGCGGUGAAAUGCGUAGAUAUAUGGAGGAAC
rnacentral:rRNA from 1 species